rnacentral:rRNA from 1 species
UGGGGAAUAUUGGACAAUGGGCGCAAGCCUGAUCCAGCCAUGCCGCGUGAGUGAUGAAGGCCCUAGGGUUGUAAAGCUCUUUCACCGGUGAAGAUAAUGACGGUAACCGGAGAAGAAGCCCCGGCUAACUUCGUGCCAGCAGCCGCGGUAAUACGAAGGGGGCUAGCGUUGUUCGGAUUUACUGGGCGUAAAGCGCACGUAGGCGGACUAUUAAGUCAGGGGUGAAAUCCCGGGGCUCAACCCCGGAACUGCCUUUGAUACUGGUAGUCUUGAGUUCGAGAGAGGUGAGUGGAAUUCCGAGUGUAGCGGUGAAAUUCGUAGAUAUUCGGAGGAACACCAGUGGCGAAGGCGGCUCACUGGCUCGAUACUGACGCUGAGGUGCGAAAGCGUGGGGAGCAAACAGG